CCUACGGGAGGCAGCAGUGGGGGAUAUUGGACAAUGGGGGGGAACCCUGAUCCAGCGACGCCGCGUGAGUGAAGAAGUAUUUCGGUAUGUAAAGCUCUGUCAGCAGGGAAGAAAGCAAUGACGGUACCUGACCAAGAAGCCCCGGCUAACUACGUGCCAGCAGCCGCGGUAAUACGUAGGGGGCAAGCGUUAUCCGGAAUUACUGGGUGUAAAGGGAGCGUAGACGGCUGUGCAAGUCUGGAGUGAAAGGCGGGGGGCCAACCCCCGGACUGCUCUGGAAACUGGAUGGCUGGAGGGCAGGAGAGGUAAGCGGAAUGCCUGGUGUAGCGGUGAAAUGCGUAGAUAUUAGGAAGAACACCAGUGGCGAAGGCGGCUUACUGGACUGUAACUGACGUUGAGGCUCGAAAGCGUGGGGAGCGAACAGGAUUAGAUACCCGGGUAGUC
rnacentral:rRNA from 1 species